GCCGAGGUGGCGGAACUGGUAGACGCGCAUGGUUGAGGGCCAUGUCCCUUUAUUGGGAUGGGGGUUCAAGUCCCCCCUUCGGCA
rnacentral:tRNA from 1 species